rnacentral:rRNA from 1 species
UACGUAGGGUGCGAGCGUUGCCCGGAUUUAUUGGGCGUAAAGAGCUCGUAGGCGGUGUGUCGCGUCGGCCGUGAAAACCUGCAGCUCAACUGUGGGCUUGCGGUCGAUACGGGCAUCACUGGAGUUCGGCAGGGGAGACUGGAAUUCCUGGUGUAGCGGUGAAAUGCGCAGAUAUCAGGAGGAACACCGGUGGCGAAGGCGGGGUCUCUGGGCCGAUACUGACGCUGAGGAGCGAAAGCGUGGGGAGCGAACAGG